rnacentral:rRNA from 1 species
GACGAACGCUGGCGGCGUGCCUAAUACAUGCAAGUCGAGCGAGACUCUUCGGAGUCUAGCGGCGGACGGGUGAGUAACACGUGGGCAACCUGCCUGUAAGACUGGGAUAACACCGGGAAACCGGUGCUAAUACCGGAUAAUCCUUUUCCUCUCAUGAGGAAAAGCUGAAAGUCGGUUUCGGCUGACACUUACAGAUGGGCCCGCGGCGCAUUAGCUAGUUGGUGAGGUAACGGCUCACCAAGGCGACGAUGCGUAGCCGACCUGAGAGGGUGAUCGGCCACACUGGGACUGAGACACGGCCCAGACUCCUACGGGAGGCAGCAGUAGGGAAUCUUCCACAAUGGCCGAAAGUCUGAUGGAGCAACGCCGCGUGAGCGAUGAAGGCCUUCGGGUCGUAAAGCUCUGUUGUUAGGGAAGAACAAGUAUCGGAGUAACUGCCGGUACCUUGACGGUACCUAACCAGAAGGCCACGGCUAACUACGUGCCAGCCGCCGCCGUAACAC